GGAGCAACGCCGCGUGAGUGAAGAAGGCUUUCGGGUCGUAAACUCUGUUGUUGGAGAAGAAUGGUCGGCAGAGUAACUGUUGUCGGCGUGACGGUAUCCAACCAGAAAGCCACGGCUAACUACGUGCCAGCAGCCGCGGUAAUACGUAGGUGGCAAGCGUUAUCCGGAUUUAUUGGGCGUAAAGCGAGCGCAGGCGGUUUUUUAAGUCUGAUGUGAAAGCCCUCGGCUUAACCGAGGAAGUGCAUCGGAAACUGGGAAACUUGAGUGCAGAAGAGGACAGUGGAACUCCAUGUGUAGCGGUGAAAUGCGUAGAUAUAUGGAAGAACACCAGUGGCGAAGGCGGCUGUCUGGUCUGUAACUGACGCUGAGGCUCGAAAGCAUGGGUAGCGAACAGGAUUAAAUACCCGGGUAGUCCAUGCCGUAAACGAUGAAUGCCAGGUGUUGGAGGGUUUCCGCCCUUCAGUGCCGCAGCUAACGCAUUAAGCAUUCCGCCUGGGGAGUACGACCGCAAGGUUGAAACUCAAAGGAAUUGACGGGGGCCCGCACAAGCGGUGGAGCAUGUGGUUUAAUUCGAAGCAACGCGAAGAACCUUACCAGGUCUUGACAUCUUUUGAUCACCUGAGAGAUCCGGUUUUCCCUUCGGG
rnacentral:rRNA from 2 species